UAAAACAUAACAUCAAUGCACCAGAUCCCAUUAGAACUCCGCAGUUAAGCGUGCUCAGGCUAGUAGUACUGGGAUGGGUGACCGCCCGGGAAGUCCUAGUGUGUUAC
rnacentral:rRNA from 1 species